UAAGACAGAGGGUGCAAACGUUGUUCGGAAUUACUGGGCGUAAAGCGCGUGUAGGCUGCUUCGCAAGUCGGGUGUGAAAGCCCUGGGCUCAACCUAGGAAGUGCACUCGAAACUGCGGAGCUUGAGUCUCGGAGAGGAUCGCGGAAUUCUCGGUGUAGAGGUGAAAUUCGUAGAUAUCGAGAGGAACACCGGUGGCGAAGGCGGCGAUCUGGACGAUGACUGACGCUGAGACGCGAAAGCGUGGGGAGCAAACAGG
rnacentral:rRNA from 1 species